rnacentral:rRNA from 1 species
CCUACGGGUGGCUGCAGUGGGGAAUAUUGGACAAUGGGCGAAAGCCUGAUCCAGCCAUGCCGCGUGUGUGAAGAAGGCCUUCGGGUUGUAAAGCACUUUCAGUGGGGAAGAAAGCCUUGGGGCUAAUACCCUCGAGGAAGGACAUCACCCACAGAAGAAGCACCGGCUAACUCCGUGCCAGCAGCCGCGGUAAUACGGAGGGUGCGAGCGUUAAUCGGAAUUACGGGGCGUAAAGCGCGCGUAGGCGGUCUGAUAAGCCGGUUGUGAAAGCCCCGGGCUCAACCUGGGAACGGCAUCCGGAACUGUCAGGCUAGAGUGCAGGAGAGGAAGGUAGAAUUCCCGGUGUAGCGGUGAAAUGCGUAGAGAUCGGGAGGAAUACCAGUGGCGAAGGCGGCCUUCUGGACUGACACUGACGCUGAGGUGCGAAAGCGUGGGUAGCAAACAGGAUUAGAUACCCGAGUAGUC